rnacentral:rRNA from 1 species
CAUGCAAGUCCGCGNGAAGCCCCCUUCCGGGGUACUCGAGCGGCGAAGGGAGAGUACGCGUGGAUACCUACCCCUGGAUCCGGGAUAGCUGCGGGAANCUGGCAGGUAAUGCCGGAUUAUUGUCCCCGGACCCAAAGGUGUGAUUCCGUCCCAGGAGAGGGGUCCGCCGUCCUUAUUAGCCUUGUUGGUUGGGGUUAAUGCGCCUACCCAGGGCUCAGGAUGGGUACCGGGGUGUGAGAGCAUGCCCCGGCUCACUGGGACCUGAGACACCUGCCCCAGACACCCUACGGGGUGGGCUGGCAGUCGAGGAUAUCUUCGCGCAAUGGACGCCAUGUCUGACCCGAGGCGCCGCCCGCCGUGCGGGGAUGAAGGCUUUCCGGGUUGUAACCCGCUGUCAGGGGGGAAGGAAAUCUCUAGGGGCUACCCCCUCGAGUUGACCCUAUCNCUCAGAGGAAGGACGGGCUAAGUUCGUGCCAGCAGCCGCGGUAAUACGAACCGUCCAAACGUUAUUCGGAAUCACUGGGCUUAAAGGGUGCGUAGGCGGUGCGGUAAGUUGGGUGUGAAAUCCCUCGGCUCAACCGAGGAACUGCGCUCAAUACUGCCGUACUUGAGGGAGACAGAGGUAAGCGGAACUGAUGGUGGAGCGGUGAAAUGCGUUGAUAUCAUCAGGAACACCAGUAGCGAAGGCGGCUUACUGGGUCUCUUCUGACGCUGAGGCACGAAAGCUAGGGUAGCGAACGGGAUUAGAUACCCCGGUAGUCC